rnacentral:rRNA from 1 species
UAGGGAAUAUUAGAAAUGGACGAAAGUCUGAUCUAGCGACACCGCGUGUGCGAAGAAGGCCUUCGGGUUGUAAAGCACUUUUUGGAAGGAAUAGGAAGGAAGGUACUUCCAGAAUAAGUCUCGGCUAACUACGUGCCAGCAGCCGCGGUAACACGUAGGAGGCGAACGUUAUCCGGAUUUACUGGGCGUAAAGCGCGUGUAGGUGGUUUUGUAAGUAGGGCGUGAAAGCUCCUGGCUCAACUAGGAGAGGCCGUUCUAAACUGCAGAGCUAGAGGAUGGUAGAGGGAGGUGGAAUUCCAGGUGUAGCGGUGGAAUGCGCAGAUAUCUGGAGGAACACCAGUGGCGAAGGCGGCCUCCUGGACCAUUCCUGACACUCAGACGCGAAAGCUAGGGUAGC